UGAAGCCCAGCUUGCUGGGUGGAUUAGUGGCGAACGGGUGAGUAACACGUGAGUAACCUGCCCUUGACUCUGGGAUAAGCGCUGGAAACGGCGUCUAAUACCGGAUACGAGCUUCCACCGCAUGGUGAGUUGCUGGAAAGAAUUUCGGUCAAGGAUGGACUCGCGGCCUAUCAGGUAGUUGGUGAGGUAACGGCUCACCAAGCCGACGACGGGUAGCCGGCCUGAGAGGGUGACCGGCCACACUGGGACUGAGACACGGCCCAGACUCCUACGGGAGGCAGCAGUGGGGAAUAUUGCACAAUGGGCGCAAGCCUGAUGCAGCAACGCCGCGUGAGGGACGAAGGCCUUCGGG
rnacentral:rRNA from 1 species